CCCUUAGAUGUCCGGGGCCGCACGCGCGCUACACUGAAGGAAUCAGCGUGGCUUUCUCCCUGACCCGAAAGGGUUGGGAAACCCGUUGAAUCUCCUUCGUGAUAGGGAUUGGGGCUUGAAAUUGUUCCCCAUGAACGAGGAAUUCCCAGUAAGCGCGAGUCAUAAGCUCGCGUUGAUUACGUCCCUGCCCUUUGUACACACCGCCCGUCGCUACUGCCAACUGAGAUGGGUCCUGAAUUGUUAGGAACGCCCGUCAAGGGGCCUACCCGGUCCCUAGUGCGGUGACGAGAAUAACUGUAAAUGGCAUAUCUUGGAGGGAGUAAAAGUCGUAACA
rnacentral:rRNA from 1 species